UACGGGGGGGGGCAAGCGUUGUUCGGAAUUACUGGGCGUAAAGGGCUCGUAGGCGGCCAACUAAGUCAGACGUGAAAUCCCUCGGCUUAACCGGGGAACUGCAUCUGAUACUGGAUGGCUUGAGUUCGGGAGAGGGAUGCGGAAUUCCAGGUGUAGCGGUGAAAUGCGUAGAUAUCUGGAGGAACACCGGUGGCGAAGGCGGCAUCCUGGACCGGCAUUGACGCUGAGGCGCGAAAGCCAGGGGAGCAAACGGG
rnacentral:rRNA from 1 species